rnacentral:rRNA from 1 species
GUCUAGAGCCAUAUUAUGCUGAGCUUGCCUGAUGUCAUCUGAUCUCAUAAGCUAAGCAGGGUUGGGCCCGAUUAGUAUUUGGUUAAGAGAUUGCCCGGGCAUACCCAGUGUGUAAACU